GGGGUUCGGCAGCGUUUUGGGGGAGAAAGGCUGCUCCCUGUGCUGGAAAACAAAAUACCCACGUUUCCUAAUUGCUUCCACUGAUAAAUGCUGAGAAAUUCUCCCUUCCCGAUGCCUGGGUAGGGAACAGGCUAAAAAAAAAAACCCUCCUGGGUGGCUCCUGGUGGGUGAGGGCUGCAGGAGGGGUGCAUGUGGCCAAAACGCUGCCCGGGGUUUAGCUGGGAGCAUCCCCGGGGCCAGGGCUGAGCAACCCCUCCCCGAGGCUGCUCCUUUGGGUGCUGCCAGCCCCGGGGGUGUCGCAGCAAAGUGCCCAUGUUAGGAAGCGUGGCCCGAAAUAGCGGUGGCUGCUGGGGGCGGGGGGCUCGGCCGCGUGUCCUGCUGGGGAGCCCGUGAGCCGGGUGGCGAGGAGUGGCCGUGAAUAAUGCACAUUCCUCCCCGAUGACAAAGCAGCCCGGUUCUCUGCUGCAUACCACCACGGGGCGGUUUCUACAAAGCUGUGCGCUGUGAACCCUGCGUGGGGUCCGUCCAGGUUUCCCUGGGGUCUCCGUCACCCCUGAUUUUCCCCCUGUCCCCUCCCCAGGCUCCCCCACACUCCCUCUCCCCAUCCCACGUUCUUUGAACUCGGCACGUGAGCCCUGCUGCUGUGGGCUGGGAUCACGGUGGGUGCUGAGGGUGCUGUGGGUGCUUGGGUUUUGCCCGGGGGGUGUUUGCAGCCUUAUCUCCAGGGCUGUCAAGGUUUCCUCCCUCCCUGCUUCCCAUCUGCGUGGCUUUGUUCUGUGCGUACCGCAAGCGCCAGGAAUCUGGGCUUGAUAAAGUUUGUUGCAGCUCGUGGGAGGCAAUCCUAAAAACUUUCAGACUUACUUUGUGUUAUAAAAAAAAAAAAAAAAAAAAAAACCAACGCACAAAACAGCCAUGCUGUUUUAUUUCUGUGCUCCAAAGCCCAGCCCGGCUGGUACAGCAGGAGCAGGGAGGUGCGUCCUGGGGUCCCAGCACGAUUCCCCUGCAGCACGUGUAUGGGAUGGCAGGGCAGGAUGCUCCUUGUGCCUCUCCGUGCCCUGGACCCAGCCCAAAGCCUGCCUCCUGCCCUCCUAGGGCUAUUUUUGGUGCUCGAGGGCCCGAGGGAGGAAAUGACUUCGAUGGCAGCCCUGUGGGCAUGGGGAGCAGAGCAGCCUCCACGACUCGUGUGCGUGCUCGCAGCCGCUGCUGCGGGACGCCAGCCCCGGUGGGUGCAUGGCUCUGCCUGGGGGCUCCUCGCUGUCCCCCACUUUACAGGGAGAUGCUGGAGAUUUGCAGCCCAAAACCCCGACAAGAAGGAAGCAGGAGGAAGAUCCGGACUCAGAAAGUGAGAAGUUGGUGGUGA
rnacentral:lncRNA from 1 species